rnacentral:lncRNA from 1 species
AUCCCCAAGGGCAUGGUCAUGGGCCAGGACUAGAUUCCAAGUCUCCUGACUUGCAGACCCAUGAGUGACCUGGCACCAGUGGUGGUCCACUGUUCUCAGGCAGAAGCCAUUGACCAACAUCUAUAGCCAUGAAACACCUACCUUUGGGCCUCUGAGGCACAAACACUGACUGGCUGGCAAUGGGAGAGCUCCAAAGCCCGGCUCCUGGGGGUGAGGAGAAGGGAAAAUGUAGAGAGUGGGCCUCUGCCCCAGCUCUGACUUGGAGGGCCAGACCGUGCUUGGUAUGACUUGUGAGAGUCCAUGGGGAGGUGGCUAAUCAGCCACCAGAGCUUGUGCUCAUGAUGUGGUAGAAGAGCAGAAACGUGUGGAGAGUGGCUACUGCUCCCUGUCUUCUGGAAAGCCUAGGACCUGUCCUAAGUCCACAGCUGAAGUGGCUUUCUACCGGCUGUUUGGUGGAAACAGAAGAAAUAGCUCUGACUUCCGGAGGUAGCAAGGGUUAUUGUCAGGAGCAGUGGUGCCCAGAGUUGACAAGAAGGCUGGGGAAUAGAACCUGGAAAGCAGACAGGAGCUUAGGGAGCUGAGCCAUCUGAGCCCCAGCUCCUAGCCAAGGGGACAGCCAAGGAAUGGCCUGGUCAGAGGGCCACUUGGCACCUCUGGAUGCUGGAUUGUCCUGCUGAUGCCAGAGUAAACGCAAAGCCACCUGCCCAUUCUCUGCCCGCUGGCUCUAGACGCAGGUCCUCGUGAAAGUUUGCAUUGGCCUGCCUCCAAGGCAGGGACAGAGUUCAUUCAAAUGUUAGCUGGCCUGACACCCAGCAGACAGCCACCUCAGAGGCCAAAGUAGAGGACUGGCCAGUAUGCUGGUAGGAGAUUAUGGUGACAUCUGUGGAGUAGGAUUGUACUGAGCUAGCUCACACUGGGUAGAAGGAGGCAGAGUAGGUCUCUCUAGGAACAGGGACAGGGACAGGAGGUAGUUGAGGAGCUGCUGUGACCAAGGAUGUUCAAAUAUAAGAAGGUUACAUUCACCUUUGCCAUAGUCAGAAUAAAGACCUGGGCAUGAAGACUGAGGGGCACAGUGCUAAGGUGACCUCUUUAAUGGGACAUUGCUUCAUAGACUGGAACAGGCCUACCCCUCCAGGACUUGCCAGAAGGCUCUCAGCACCUCUCAGUUCAGAGUCACCCUAGGUCACCACCCACCAUACAUUGUCCAUGAAAAUUUAAAGACACAUGUCUGUACAGUUUCUAUGCUGGGACACGGCCCCUGCCUCCCCCAGCUGUAGCUUGCUAAGCUGAGAGGCAGCCCUCUAUGUGGCUCCCGAACAGUCAGUCCCGGAGUACCUCUGCCCUAUAUGAUGCUCUGGCCCCUGUCCACUGCCUUGGAAGAAGGCAGUACAAGGACUUUAAUCUCCUACUGUCAACAUCUUUAAAGCAAAAUACAUUCGGGGUAAGCUCUCCAAAUGUCAGAGCCAGAUGCAGGCACUGUGUUCUGUUUUCCAUGUGGCAUUUACUCGACAGGUUCAUGAGCUUUGGUACCUGGGCUUUGGGCGGUCUGGCUGCUUAAAUAUGGGUUAAUUGUAAACAUAUUGAUGGUCACACACCUAGCCACGUGAGAAAGGGGAGUCGGCCUGGAGAGAAACCAUCCCCAGAGACACACAAUUCCGUCAAUCUAACCAUAGCUGAUGGUCAUUGCUACCUCCCCUGGAAUAUCACUCCAGAUCUAAGGCCACUGUCUGACAGAUAUUUCUUUCUCUCUGUGUUCAAGGCUACCCCAACUUUGUGGCAACCUAUGGCAGAGGCUACCCCGGAUUUGCUCCUAGCUAUGGCUACCAGUUCCCAGGUGAGUGGCUUAGACCCUGGGGUUUGGCUGCAUCUGGGGAGUGGGGAGGAGCAGACAGAUGCUCCAAAAAAGAACACAAUUUGCUUACCUAUGUAUGCGAAGUCCCCUCUGGUCCAGGUUAAGGGUACAGUUGGGGCUUUCCAAUGGACUAGAGUAUUUCCUUGAUGCUGGUGGCAAAAAUGGAGGAGAGAAGAGAUGGGAAGCCCCCUCUACUCACCUCCUUUCCCCACAAGACUAUUAUUCUCAGUCUUCUUCUGGGAGACUGAACUCUGGGCCCAAGGCUUGUUGUCACACCAGCAUCCCUGCUACCUGUUGCUAUCCACAUCUACCUGCUAAUGCGUCCCAGCCUGCCUUCCCUUCUUCCUCUCUCUAACAUGGCCUGACUGCCCUGACAUCAGGCUUUCCUGCCAUAUGUUGAUGAGGUGCUGCAGGAGUCAGACUUGUGCUUUGCACCCUGAAUGAGCUGUGCAGACUCUCAUUCUACUCCACACAGACAGCAGAGCAUGGCACUGCCCACACAUGCCCUGGUGCUUCAGCUGAAGGAGCAGGUGGGCAUGGUCUGGGAGAGAUGGGAAGGGUACUGCAGGAAGGGAUGCUGUAGGAGUGUUGUGAGGUAAACCUCCUCACAGUCAAGCAGUACAGAUGAGAAUAUAUUAGGGUGCCUGCUGCGUCACAGUCAGAGGCCAGAUAAUAUGUCCAGAUGUAAAGAAGUCUGUGCUCCGUGGUUCUCUGCAGGGGGUAAAGGGGUGGGAGGGCCACACUCAGUGGCUGGACUUAGGGUUACUUUUGGUGGUUAUCACGUCUCUACUUGGAGGCCUGAGAGAAGUGAUGAGCAGAAGGCACAGAAAGCUGGCCUGAGGGAGGGCUUUCUUAGCCUGAGGAGCAGGAGGUUGGAGGAAAGAUCUAGCACUGGCCUCAGCUCAGGCUUUGAGAUGGAAACAGAAGAUAUUUAGGGCUAUAUCCUGUGAUUCUGGCCAGCCUUGAAGACACUUAUCCUAUCUCUGGUACCAACUGGACAAGUGGCUGUGGCAAAUUACCCACUUCUGUGCCUUGCUUCUCUUAUUUGUGAUUGGAUGUUGGGUAGAACCAUUGAAAGAAUGUGAGGUCUGACUAUGGGGUCAGAGGCAGAAGGGAGAUAGACAGAGCUUCAGAAGUUCAAGGUAGAAGGGUGAGCACAGCAGCUUCCUUGGGACCUAGGCAGGUUCCCCAUCUGAGAGAUGCUGUCAGCAAGGACCCUUGCAAGGUGGGCCCUCCCCACAGCCUCUCUGCAGCUUGUAAUAGCCUGGACUCUGGGACUAGAAUUCAGGCUAGAACUGUUCCUGGGUUAUCCCCAUUACAGGCAGGUACAGGUCUGAGGGC